rnacentral:rRNA from 1 species
UACGAAGGACCCGAGCGUUUAUCCGGAUUUAUUGGGUUUAAAGGGUGCGUAGGCGGACAUGCAAGUCAGUGGUGAAAUCUCCCCGCUCAACGGGGAAACUGCCAUUGAAACUAUGUGUCUUGAGUACAUUUGAGGCGGGCGGAAUGUGUCAUGUAGAGGUGAAAUUCUUAGAUAUGACACAGAACACCAAUUGCGAAGGCAGCUCGCUAAACUGUUACUGACGCUGAGGCACGGAAAGCGUGGGGAUCAAACAGG